rnacentral:rRNA from 1 species
CCCAUCUAUAUUGCUCGCGCGAUGAAUCACGUCGUGCUGCUGAGCCCGAUCAAACUCUCGACCAGUAUCGCGCCGCUAAACGUACCCAGAUCUAUAGAAUAGCCACUGGAAACGGUGAGUAAUACCUUAUACGCCCUUCGGGGGAAAGAUUUAUCGGAUUUGGAUCGGCCCGCGUUAGAUUAGAUAGUUGGUGGGGUAAUGGCCUACCAAGUCUACGAUCUAUAGCUGGUUUUAGAGGAUGAUCAGCAACACUGGGACUGAGACACGGCCCAGACUACUACGGGAGGCAGCAGUGGGGAAUCUUGGACAAUGGGCGCAAGCCUGAUCCAGCCAUGCCGCGUGAGUGAUGAAGGCCUUAGGGUCGUAAAGCUCUUUCGCCAGAGAUGAUAAUGACAGUAUCUGGUAAAGAAACCCCGGCUAACUCCGUGCCAGCAGCCGCGGUAAUACGGAGGGGGUUAGCGUUGUUCGGAAUUACUGGGCGUAAAGCGUACGUAGGCGGAUUAGUCAGUCAGAGGUGAAAUCCCAGGGCUCAACCCUGGAACUGCCUUUGAUACUGCUAGUCUUGAGUUCGAGAGAGGUGAGUGGAAUUCCAAGUGUAGAGGUGAAAUUCGUAGAUAUUUGGAGGAACACCAGUGGCGAAGGCGGCUCACUGGCUCGAUACUGACGCUGAGGUACGAAAGUGUGGGGAGCAAACAGGAUUAGAUACCCUGGUAGUCCACACCGUAAACGAUGAAUGCCAGUCGUCGGGCAGUAUACUGUUCGGUGACACACCUAACGGAUUAAGCAUUCCGCCUGGGGAGUACGGUCGCAAGAUUAAAACUCAAAGGAAUUGACGGGGGCCCGCACAAGCGGUGGAGCAUGUGGUUUAUUCGAAGCAACGCGCAGAACCUUACCAACCCUUGACAUCCUAUGACAACCUGAGAGAUCAGGCUUUCCUUCGGGACAUAGUGAAAGGUGCUGCAUGGCUGUCGUCAGCUCGUGUCGUGAGUGUUCGGUUAAGUCCGGGCAACGAGCGCAACCCACAUCCCUAGUUGCAGCAGUUCGGCUGGGCACUCUAUGGAAACUGCCCGUGAUAAGCGGGAGGAAGGUGUGGAUGACGUCAAGUUC